rnacentral:lncRNA from 1 species
GACGAACGUAUACCGAAAACCUACCUAUUGCCCGGUCCUUGUUCCGAGCUGGUCAAAAGACCCGUUAAAGUUUAAAAAAGCCGUAUUCCGCUCGUACUUCAACAGAGCAUACCUGUACUGCACAGAACCUAUAGACUACAACCAAGAAGUGCAGUACAUCCUAGAGCAGGGGGGGAAACAUGGUUAUCACAAAGGCUUAUUAUUCUCAGUCAUGAAAAACAUCGAAACCACUAUUAACGAAGCAAGAGCACAACAGAAUGAAGAGGAUGCUAAUCUACAACAACCACCUGUAAGCAAAAAUGAUGAUUGUUGCGGUACCUUAUCAUUUAGCAAAAUGUUCAGCUAUUAAAAAAACUGUUAACCUAGCAAAUAAGAAACUUGCCAUAAGAAGAAACCUUUCUAUUUUUGCGUACCUUAGAAACAGUAAGGAUAAGCUAGAUGAUAAAUAUAAACCAGGAGUCUAUAGUAGCCCGAUCAGCAAUAAAAGCAGUAAGACAGAUACCAGUCCCAUGGCUAUAUGCCAUUAAGAAAACAAAUAGAUAGCAUGAAGCGGCAACAUCGUGACGUAUACGUUAUAUAAAAAAUUAUCGCGGC